rnacentral:misc_RNA from 1 species
CCGCCACCCAACCCUCAAAUCCUAUCUUCUCCAAUCAAUCACUGCCUAAACUGAAAGCCACCAAAUGCCACCACUAUCAGCCAGCUUCAACCAGAACUCUAGAGAACCACCUUGACAGACGUUCAAACGAACAUCCAUUUUUCAUAUCCAAACGCACACCACAAAACUCCGAAGACCCCAGAUCCCUUCACCUUUUUUUCCGACAUCAUAUGAAACCCCCCAAACCCCAAUUGUUCGCCUCCUUUUUACAUAUUCCAAUCCUAACACCAAUAGAACAAAAUCUAGCACACUAGACCAAAAUCCAAGCUCCACCUGAGACCACCAUAGAACAACAAACUACCGCCCCCCUUUUUCCCUUCAAGCUCCAUCACUAGCUCAUGAUUCAUGGAGCAGCCAACUUCAUGGAAAGCUCAACCAGCAUUCGAACCUCCGCGGACAACCUCACUAAACCAGAUCUCACCAUAAAUCUGAGCACCCAUGAAGACAACAUUGAGUUCCGUCAAUCAGGUUCCGGUUAGUCUAAAUUUUUGUAUUAUCAUAUAUUGAUACUUGGGUCAGUUUUAU